rnacentral:rRNA from 1 species
GACGAACGCUGGCGGCGUGCUUAACACAUGCAAGUCGAACGGAAAGGCCCUGCUUUUGUGGGGUGCUCGAGUGGCGAACGGGUGAGUAACACGUGAGUAACCUGCCCUUGACUUUGGGAUAACUUCAGGAAACUGGGGCUAAUACCGGAUAGGAGCUCCUGCUGCAUGGUGGGGGUUGGAAAGUUUCGGCGGUUGGGGAUGGACUCGCGGCUUAUCAGCUUGUUGGUGGGGUAGUGGCUUACCAAGGCUUUGACGGGUAGCCGGCCUGAGAGGGUGACCGGCCACAUUGGGACUGAGAUACGGCCCAGACUCCUACGGGAGGCAGCAGUGGGGAAUAUUGCACAAUGGGCGGAAGCCUGAUGCAGCAACGCCGCGUGCGGGAUGACGGCCUUCGGGUUGUACACCGCUUUCGCCUGUGACGAAGCGUGAGUGACGGUAAUGGGUAAAGAAGCACCGGCGAACUACG